AGAAUCAACGCUGGCGGCGUGCCUAACACAUGCAAGUCGAACGAGAAAGUGGAGCAAUCCAUGAGUACAGUGGCGCACGGGUGAGUAACACGUGACUAACCUACCCUUGAGUGGGGGAUAACCUAGGGAAACCUGGGCUAAUACCGCAUAAUACCUUCGGGUCAAAGGAGCAAUUCGCUUUAGGAGGGGGUCGCGGCCGAUUAGUUAGUUGGCGGGGUAAUGGCCCACCAAGACUGUGAUCGGUAUCCGGCCUGAGAGGGCGCACGGACACACUGGAACUGAAACACGGUCCAGACUCCUACGGGAGGCAGCAGUGGGGAAUUUGCGCAAUGGGGGAAACCCUGACGCAGCAACGCCGCGUGGAGGAUGAAGCCCCUUGGGGCGUAAACUCCUUUCGAUCGGGACGAUAAUGACGGUACCGAGAGAAGAAGCCCCGGCUAACUUCGUGCCAGCAGCCGC
rnacentral:rRNA from 1 species